CUAACUGAAAUUAUGUUUGUUUUUUCGGUCAUUAACCUACCUCAACACGAAGACGGGUAUAUUUUGCUGUCGGGAAAGUUGUUAUAUCGAUAACUACAACCAUAACUGUUAAACAAGCUCAAUGCAGCGCUGUCUUGGUCAGACAAGCUAACUUGUGCUAGCAACAGUUCCAUUACUGUCAACAUACGAUGACAGAGCUUUAAAAAGGUCUGCCGUCACCAAGAUUGGUUAACUUGCUUGUUGCCUCACACUCCAGUUAUGGUCAAGUUAAGUUUUAUCAUGAGACACAAUAAAAGAAGCCAACUUGAAGGUAUAGACUUUUCAUGAAAAGUAGUCAUUCCUGCGUCGGUUGUAAGAGCAAGUUAGCUUAGCAUGCGCCCUUCGCUCGAUGAUCAUAACAACCUUCUCUAGUUAACAUACAGAGCUUUAGUCUACAUUAACCACACAACGCCUACUGUCAGAAUGUGUUAGUAAACUCUUUAAGUGACUUUAUACCUAUGUGCAUUCUGAAAGACGCCUAGCGCUUCCUUAGCCUGAAGUUAAUGCCCACAACUCUGUUGGAGCUACCAGGAAAUAGCCGAAACCAGGGUAGGUUUAGCUCAUUUCAGCCUAUAGCAAUUUACGCCGAAUGCACAGGAAUCGUCAACGUUAAAGCAACUUACCAGCUCAUGUUUGCGCUAACUUCUAAUCCAGUUUCAUUGAGCAAUUGUGUUUUCUUCCGAGGACCUCAUCCCUUUCGGCCAAACGACGGGGCUCCAAACAGGAAGUUGGAGGAUCAGCCGCUUGUGUUUCCUGAGAGCAGCAUCGUCACACAAAUGGCCAACCCUGCAACCCAGUUUGGCACAAAGAUGGCUGCUGAUGUUGGAUGGUGUCCAAAGUGGAGCCAAGGAAGAUGAGGCAUAUUCCACUUUCUGUCAGAGCACUCACCCUCUCCUUUUGUGAAUUGUAAAAACAUGUAAAUAAUAUUGUUCUCGGAGAAAAGAUUGUUUAAUACAUCUAUAGGAUUCACACAGGAGGAUUAUUUCCUGAUGCUUGUAUUGUUUUUACCACCGUACUAUAUAGUGAGGGGGUGAGAAUUAGAAGAGCCUAAAUCCAUCUGCUCAUUACAGAAUUUAAAAAAAUGUCAUGAAACAAAGUGACAAACACAUUCAAGAGUAUGUGACCAGUGACAUCAAAUUUGUGAGGUUGUAAUUAUACAUGGCUUCAUUUAGUCAUGGAAAACCAGAGUGUGCUGCAUUCCUCGAAACAAUGCAACAUAAACACCGCCUUCCCUGCGAGGAGGCCACAUUCAACAUAUAAUUAAACACAUCCAUUCUCACUAAGCAAGUGUCAAAUCAAGAAUAGCUUCUCUUUUUGAUCAAAUAUAUUCAAAACCAUGAAUCUAUAAUCACUGGAUAAUGUCACAUUAUUUAUUAUUGUUUAUACAUUAUAUUACAUUUAACAUAAAUAGUUGCUAUAUCUAAUCACGUCAUAAACAAUAUUGCUUUGUGCUUUACUGCAUGGGAAUAGCUGCUACAUCGUGUUGUGAGGGUACAUUAAGAAAAUCGGACCAUUCUAAAAGUCAAAUCUUGGUUCAAAAUAAGAAGCAUGCCUUUGUAUAUAUAUUUUAUGUUGAAUUCUCUGCCCAAAAUGCAAGGGUGCCUGUUCAUUUAUCCAUGUAGAUGAGCUGAGAAAAGACCCUCUGAGGCCAAAAUAAUUGGAAAGUAAGUGGACACUUGCCAGCAAACUCAGCAGUGAAAAUUGGUUGUUCCAGAAGAGAGCCAGAGAACACGGCCUGUGAUGCUAAAUCCACAACGUCUUCUCUGUUAUAUUUUCAAACACUUUUUCUAGCCAUUGCACCUGUCCAUAAUUCCCUUUGGUCCUGCCCUCUACAGCAUUUUAUCUAUUCUAAUAGUCUUACUCAAAUACAAGAUACACUGUCAUCUAACAAGCACCACCAUUCUUUGAGGACCAAAAAGACGAACCAGCCAAGCUUGUUAUAGAAGUUAUAGAAGUAAGGAUUCUAAUCAUUUUAAAUGAGCAACAGCCUUGCCACAUAAGGAUGGUUAUUAGUCCCAAAAUGCACAUUAGCGCUAAUAAAAUAGCCUCACAUCAAUUGUGUAGAAAGAUGAGUAUCAUUAGCUUGAUGUUUCAUGGCUUUCAGUCACUCUGUCUUUUCGUUCUUCAGUCAUUCUUUACUUCUUGAUGCCGGGUAUGUUGAUUAGUUCUGUUUGGUUUGAAAAGGUAGAAUAAACAAUGGGGGGAAGAAUAUCCUGCAGUAUAUUUUGCAGAUUUGGUUGCUUUGAAAAGAAGACAUGAUGUGUGUUUCACGUCCUUUCAGCACAAUGGUCAAUAUAAAACCACAUGAUAUGAAAAUGUUGGCUUCCCACUAUAUAGUUCAAGAGACUAUGCAAUCAUUUAGCUUCUGCAGAAUGGAAGUGGAGUUCACAAAAAGAUGUGCUUCUUUAAAUGAAUUUUAAUGUGUGUGGAUGGUGCAAUUGUUGUGUGUAAAACACCUUAUUUUUAAUGCUUCCACAUUUUUUUUCAAUACCCGACAUGGCUGUCAACCAAAAGCUGGAAAACAUAUUCUGCACAAGCAUUCAGUCAAAGCGUCUCCUUUAAUUUAUGCAGAUUUUUGCAUUUUACACAUUGUGCAUACUGGCAUGCACAUACUGUAUAUAUGCACUUGUGUGCAAAAAUACUGAUGUAUAGUGCAGUUGAGCGCAAAACUUGUACUCUAGCGACCUGCAGACAUAUUUGUAUAUGGUACAAAAGCAAGAAACCCUUUUUGUUGUCAGAUUAUUUGGAUAUUUUUAAAUCAUACCAGUUAGCUGCUCAUUCUUAAAAUCUCAACAUAGCAAAUACAUGUUAACAGUGCAUGCAGAUACUGGUAAGCACACAGUAUACUGCUGGUUUGUAACCUAGUGCCACAUAUUUGUUGUUUGUUGUCUCUCCGUUUAUGUUUUGAUCUCAUCAAAUAUUGCUUUCAAAUGAUGAUGAACAGUGUUGAUGGGAUUAAAAAAAGUCAAUUAUUUCUUUUAACAUCAUAUAAAGCCAUUGUGCAUGGCCUUGGCUGCUGGAGGCAUGAAACAGGACCACUCGUGACCCAUUCAGUUGUUAUUUACAUUUAGUCAAACUGCACAUAAAUCUAAAUGAGAGAUAAGUUUGGAAUGUGACCUUUCUUUUAAUAACCCCAAGUGGAAGCUGAUAUCACUGGUGUGUUUGGCAAAUAUCAGGCACAAUAAUAAGAACAAGGUUGGCUGAGUUACCACAAAAUACAUUUGGCACAUUCAUUGGAGAAAACAACAUUCAAAUACAAAAAAACAAAAAACAAAAA